rnacentral:tRNA from 1 species
CGAUUAAAGACUCCGUGGCCCAAUGGAUAAGGCGCUGGUCUACGGAACCAGAGAUUCUGGGUUCGAUCCCCAGCGGAGUCGUUUUAUAUUUUUGAAAUUACGUUAAUAUAUUAUAUAAAAUAUGCAACAAAAAACACUCUGCAUAGAAUGGCCGAGAGGUCUAAGGCGCCAGUCUUAAGAACUGGUCCUCGUGAGAGGGCGUGGGUUCAAAACCCACUUCUGACA